AGGAAGUGAAGGUCAGAUAGCGGGUCGGGUUUUUUUUGCUCCUUUCUUGUGUAAUUUGGCUGCGAGGUGCCCCUUGCUGUGUCCUCACAGUCUUGGGAGUGACUGUCGAGUUUCUAUUCCAGCAGCGGCGUCUCCACCCGGAGCAAUUCCGGACGUCGCCGUUCUGGGUCGGAUUGACUUCGAAGCCUCAUGUUGCCUGAGCAAGAAGCCCAGCAGGGGAGGAGGAGGAAGAGGAAGGAAGGCCAGGAGUCAGGAAUGGCUGUUUCUCAGGACGGCCCUGUUCUGACUGGCCGCAUCUCAAGGACUCAGGAGGUAAGCAUAUGUGCCUUAGUGGCCACUAUGUGAGGCUACGCAUUUAGUGAAUUUAGUCAUCAUCGCAUUAAAAGCAAAACCUAUAGAGCAGUCUGUCCCUUGAUCUCAGGACAUGCACAAAAAAAAAAAGAAAAAAGUAACGGCAAAGAGUUCUUCGGCAUUUACUCUGUGCCAUGAGACGGGCGAGUUUCUUAGACAUGAACUUUCCCGAGGUGGGCCCUCUGCCUGGUGCCUGUCUGUCCCUCUCCCGCCACUUGCCAGGCGCCAGCCCCCGUGAGCCCCUGGCUCACCUUCAUCCCAAUCAGGGUCGAGUAAUAGGUGCCCCAGCAGGGGCAGGGGAGGUGCAGGUCAUCUGCUCUCGGAAGCAGCCCAGGUGGAUAAGAAUCCUUUGGGGCCCGUCCUUGGGCCUGAGCAGCCACCAGGGCACCAACUCUUGCCUGGAUUUCUCUCCUUCCCACUUCUCCUCCGGGUCAUCCUCUGACGCCUCCUCUGAUUCCUUCCCCACCUCCUCCCUCUCCUCGCACUGGUGCUCAGUCAGAGGUGCCACCAUCCCGAACUGGCCCUUGCACGCUCAGAUUUGCUGGGUCCCCUGCUGUCGCCCUCAGAAGACUUACAUCAACUUAAUCCUUACUCUUCUUCUUUUUUCCUUUUGUUAAAUCUUUUUAGGCCUGCAGCAGAGGCAUAUGGAAGUUCCCAGGCUAGGGGCCAAUUGGAGCUGCAAUUGCCAGUCCACAGCCACAGCAACACCAGAUGCAAGCCAUGUGCGGGACCUACACUGCAGCUCAUGGCAAUGCCAGAUCCCUAACCCACGGCAUGGGGCCGGGGAUUGGACCUGCGGCCUUAUGGGCACUAGUCGGAUUCAUUAGCUUUGAGCCACAACUGGAACUCCUCUCUUCUUAUUUUGUGUUAAAAUAAAGUACCUCUUCCCAGCCCCUCGGAGAAAUGUGUUUUCAUUUUAGGAACAGGUGACCUUCGAGGACGACGUGGCCAUCAGUUUCACUCGGGAGGAGUGGGACUGCCUGGACCCUGCUCAGAGGGCCUUGUACAAGGACGUGAUGCUAGAGACCUACAGGAACCUCAUCGCCGUGGGUGAGGAUCACUUCUUGUUUUUCGGUUUUGUUUUUGUUUUUUAAGUUUAAAAAUUUUUUUGUCUUUUUGCCUUUUCUUGAGCUGCUCCCGUGGCGUAUGGAGGUUCCCAGGCUAGAGGUCUAAUCGGAGCUAUAGCUACCGGCCUAUGCCAGAACCACAGCAACUUGGGAUCCGAGCCGCGUCUGUGACCCACACCACAGCUCACGGCAUCGCCGGAUCCUUAACCCACUGAGCGAGGCCAGGGAUUGAACCCUCAACCUCAUGGUUCCUAGUCGGAUUCGUUAACCACUGCGCCACAACAGGAACUCCAAGGAUAACUUUUGUUUUUGUUUUUGUUUUUUAGGGCCACAAACACAGCAUAUGGAAGUUUCCAGGCUAGGAGUCUAAUCUGAUCUACAUUUGCCGGCCUGCACCACAGCCACAGCAACUCGGGAUCUGAGCUGCGACUGUGACCUACACUAUAGCUCACAGUACUGCCCCAUCCUUAACCCACUGAGCGAGGCCAGCGAUGGAACCUAUAACCUCAUGGUUCCUAUUUGGAUUUGUUUAUGCUGUGCAACAAUGGGAACCCCAAGGAUAACUACUUUUUUUAAGAGGUGAAGUCUGCCCUUGCACUUUCCCCUGUGUGGCUCUUGGGAGUCCUUUUUUUUUCCAUGGCUGGGCCCUUGGUAUGUGGAAAUUUCCUGGCUGGGGAUUUAGUCCAAGGCACAGCUGAAAC
rnacentral:lncRNA from 1 species